AUCUUGGAGAGAGGAACUCUUCUCUUUUGGUGUCGUCAGAGCAGAGGAGGAUGAAGCCAACUCUUAUUGGUGAAGGAUCGCGGCGGAUUCGUGUUGAAACGGUCGCACUCUCCGGAGCCGUCUCGACGGGAGGGAGGAUACGCACAGUCAGCCGGUGUGACUAUUGCUUGACUCGCCUUUUACGCGGUUCAGGGGAUGGAACAAUGACAUACUCCCAGUUGAUGUUCACAUGAGUACCUCCAGGUUCAGAUCCUAUAUUCAUGUGAGCAUGCGGCUCGUCAUGUCUUUCCCCUUUCUUCCGCCGUCCAUGCCAAUCAGGAAGCAAUUGUUUUGGGAGUGUGUUAGUAGCGUGCACGUUUUUGCCCAUCACGGUAUUUAAUUGACAUCCCGAAAGAAAAAGGAAAUGAUGUGCUAAUGCAAUGAUGUGCACGUUUUGAUGCCUAACAAAUUGGGCCCAAUUGCCCCCUUUAACGCA